UACGUAGGGCGCAAGCGUUGUCCGGAAUUAUUGGGCGUAAAGAGCUCGUAGGCGGUCUGUUACGUCCGCUGUGAAAACCCGGGGCUUAACCCUGGGCUGGCAGUGGAUACGGGCAGACUAGAGGUAGGUAGGGGAGAAUGGAAUUCCCGGUGUAGCGGUGAAAUGCGCAGAUAUCGGGAGGAACACCAAUGGCGAAGGCAGCUCGCUGGGACGGUACUGACGCUGAGACGCGAAAGCGUGGGGAGCGAACAGG
rnacentral:rRNA from 1 species